GUAGGUGAACCUGCGGAAGGAUCAUUAAAAAUGAAGCCGGGAAACCGGUCCUUCUAACCCUUGAUUAUCUUAAUUUGUUGCUUUGGUGGGCCGCGCAAGCACUGGCUUCGGCUAGUUAGUGCCCACCAGAGGACCACAACUCUGUAAUAAAUGUCGUCUGAGUACUAUAAAAUAGUUAAAACUUUCAACAACGGAUCUCUUGGUUCUG
rnacentral:misc_RNA from 1 species